GACGAACGCUGGCGGCGUGCUUAACACAUGCAAGUCGAACGGAAAGGCCCUGCUUUUGUGGGGUGCUCGAGUGGCGAACGGGUGAGUAACACGUGAGUAACCUGCCCUUGACUUUGGGAUAACUUCAGGAAACUGGGGCUAAUACCGGAUAGGAGCUCCUGCUGCAUGGUGGGGGUUGGAAAGUUUCGGCGGUUGGGGAUGGACUGGCGGCUUAUCAGCUUGUUGGUGGGGUAGUGGCUUACCAAGGCUUUGACGGGUAGCCGGCCUGAGAGGGUGACCGGGCACAUUGGGACUGAGAUACGGCCCAGACUCCUACGGGAGGCAGUAGUGGGGAAUAUUGUACAGUGGGCGGAAGCCUGAGGCAGCGACGCCGCGUGCGGGAUGACGGCCUUCGGGUUGUAAACCGCUUUCGCCUGUGACGAGGCGUGAGUGACGGUAAUGAGUAAAGAAGCACCGGCUAACUACGUG
rnacentral:rRNA from 1 species